rnacentral:lncRNA from 1 species
ACAUAUAUAUAUUAUAUAUAUAAAUAGAGAGAGAGAGAGAGAGAGAGAGAUAGAGAAAGAGCGAGCAAAAAGGGAAGGAAGAGAUGUUUAUAUAGAUGAUAUCUUUUUGAUUCAGUACAUUUAAUUGAAUCAAUAUUUGUUAGUGAACAUACACAUAUAUUUCUGAGUAAUUUUAUCGGGCUACGAAUGUUCAAGAAGAAAAAUGUCAUAACUUGAUAUACGUAGUCUUUGUAUGUCGUUAUGCUGGAUAUCUGGAAGGUAGCUAGUUAUACUAUUGUUUUUGAAUGACAAAUCUGCUGAUAUUUACAAGUAAAUGAAUAUCUCUUACAUGCAUGCGUUAAAAUUAUGGAAUCAAAAAUAUAUUGUGGUAUCCAAAUGUAACUACGCCUUCUUAGAAAGUGAUUCUCAAACAGUGAUUAGUUGCGGCGCACUUCAGAGCAAAUAAAAUAUGCACUUUACGCACAAAUUCAAAAAAUGUAUCAAAAGCUAUUGAAAUACUUUUAGUCUAAUUUAAAUUACUGAUCAUUAUUGAGUUCUCAUUUCUCAAUUCAGUAAAUAAAGCAUAAUUAUCAAGGCUUUAUAAGAAUAUUAGCUUGUAUUUUGCACAUUUUGAAUAUAAUUUUAUUAUUUUUAUGGCGUGCCUUUCUGCAUCUCGUUUGCACUUUUGUGUUCCGCCGCGCAUCAUUUGGGAACCACUGUCCUAAGAGAAGAUUUCAAACUAGAAACAUCUAGAGGCAUAUAAUACUAUGCAAUAUGGGAUAUUUAUCUAUAUCUAUGCAGCUUACAGAAAAAGAAUUUCUAUAAAUAUGUUCUACUUCAGUUUUUAUUGGUUUACAUUUUUAAAAAUUUUAUAAUGGCCUGAACUCUCCAGACUAUUGAUUCGGCGAAUUAUCUUUACAAUGCUCUACUUUUUUUUUUAUUAUAGAAGUAAUUUAAUUUUAAAAUGACAUGAUAUCUUUAUAAGGAAGUCAUAAUCAAUAUCAUCGAUCAUGCAAUCUACAAGAAAUUAUUUAAUUGAUAAUUUUAUUGAUGAACGUGAUUUUAGCAGGAAAUGAACCCAGAAAUGUAAUCAGAAGGGAUUUUCGGUCAAUCUAAAUAUCUUAUCUUUGUACCUCUUUAUAUUACUUUUGAAUGUUUAAUCCUUUGAAAUGAUCAAAUUUAACAGUAAAUAGUUUUGGUUUUGAUAUGUUUAAACAUUUGAUAUUCCAUGUUUGUUUUAACGUUUGGGACGGCUUUUAUAAAAUAAUUUAGCUUUAAUAAUGAAUGGAAUACAAGAAUUAUCUCAUGAAAUCAUCCAGGAAUAUUUCAGUACAAGCUUUCAAGUAAUCUGUAUAAAUGUUUGGUUCUCUUAGUAUUGUCUAUGUUUAGGUAUUUCAGAAGCAUUUAAUUAAAGUUAAUCUCAUUUUUCAUUAAUGUUUGUUACAUAAAACUUCCAUAAUUAGAGUAUAAAGAGAAGUUAUAUUUCCCCUUUGAUUAAU